GUGACUUUUUUUGUGGGGCUCCCUCUCCUCUCAGCCAGCAAAUGGACAAGGAUCACCCGCCACGUGUCACUUGUUGUUUUUGGCGACAAUGGCGACGCCAGUGCUCAGAAGCAGC
rnacentral:ribozyme from 1 species